CCGGGCUCGGGGGAAUCACCCCGUGACUUGUGACACGUGCGUUUGCCGGAGGCGGCGCUUCGGAACGGCGGCCCCUGCUUCCCUCCUGCAAGUCCGGCCGCUCGCGGUGAUUCGCGGGGACUCCUCCCCUCCGGCACCGCGGGGCGCGCCCGACCCCUGACCACUGACCCCCGAACCCCGCAGGCCCUCGCCCGCAGACCGCACGGCCCAAGGCCCAGCGCUGAGCAAGGGGUCCUUCCAGAGUCAGUUUUCCGACUGUGGCGUCUUCAGAGACCGGGCCGUCCCUCCCCACGUGCUUUGCUGGCCGGAGGUUAUUACAAGAUAUUGAAUAUAGUUCUCGGUGCUAUACGAAAGGACAUCCCUGGUGGAGAUGGCAGCUCGGGAGGGUGCAACAGCCUGGGGCCAAGAGAACUAAGAUCCAGCAGAAUGCAGAGUGAGCCUCAGGCUGGACAUGUGGAUUCCCUCCGGAGAAAAACCCUGAGUCUCCUGGAGAUGAAAUUCCCUCUUGUGCAUCAAAUAUGAAAAUCAGUACAGUCUUCGUGGAGGACAGAUUAGAUAUAUGUACCCAAAGUCUUGAAAUGUUUGUUCCCAGUAAUUUCCUUCCUAGGAAUGUAUUCCAAGGUCAUAAUUAGAGACGUGCUAAAGGACUUGUGUGGAAUGACCUGCCCCCAGGGUUAUUUAUAUGAGAGUGAGUGGAACCGUCUUGAGUGCCCGCACUAGAUGGCUGUUCAAGCAGAUUAAAUCCAGAUGAUGGUGAAAAACUUUAAAAAUUAAGUACAUGGGAAAUUCUUCUCACCGUAUAGAGUUAAUUGGAAAGGGCAGAUUACAAAACAAGGAAACGAGAUGAUCUCCAUUUGGGGUACGUGUAUGAUUGUGUGUGUGAGAGAGUGUGCGUCCCCAGGCCGUAUCUAACCAGGAAAAGGCGGUAUAACACGACUCACAGAAAUGGUAACAACGCGCUACAGUUUGGAUCUAGCCGCCGUGUUUAGUUGCUGGGAUGGAAGGCCAUUUAGAGCCGUGCUCAGGGGUCCCAGGGCUAGACUCAAGCUCGCUGGGAUCUGGCUGGACCCCUGUCCACCUGUGUGGCUUUGAGCGGCUUCUUCAUCCCUCUGGUGAGUUUAUGUGCUUGUUGGCUUGAUGGCCUGUCAUCCGUCAUCAACCCCAUCCCAAGGACUGUGUUUAAACACCGAAGAGCAGGCUCCUGGCCAGAGGAUCGUAUGUCUGUGGGGUAGGGGUGGAGGUGGGGUGUGGAGAACAAGCAGUAGGCUGGGGGCUUUGAGAGAGUGAGAGGAAAGAGGUUUUAAGACAACUUUUCUCUCUUUUAUGAGCGUAACUGCCCUUUGGUUCCUUGGAAAACAAAUUUAGGAAGGAUCUGCAGUAUUUCUCAAGGCUAUUUUUGGAGUUGAACUUGGAUCUGAUUUUGGUUUCUUCUCCAUGGGAACAGGGUGAGAUGGGCCGUGAGGUUGCCCAUCUUUACUCGGUUUCAUAAAUGUGCUACAGGGAGCGAGGACACCAGAGUGAUGGCAGCUUCAAGCAUAGUUUGCAUAUGGCCCUCAAAAGCAUCCCUCCUGGCUAACGCCCCCCAGCCACAGUCCCUGGGCUGUGGUGGCUACCGAGGAGCUCCUUCCCUCCAGUGGGCCGUCUUCCCAACAGACACGCUCGCAGGAGGCCGGGCAGGUCGCUCCCCGACUGUUUUCUGAGUGGGGGCGGAGACAGGCAGGGGUGCCUGCAGGUCAGUGCAGCCCAUCAUCGUGAUGGCAGCUCCAUCCCAGCGCCUGCCCAGGCUGCCCAAGGUCACACCAGGAGCCUACUCAGCCUCUCACCCUAGCACCUUCUCCUUACGAGAAACAGUCCACAUUAAGAAGGAAAAAACUGGUAGCACAGAGGCGACGGCACCGAACUGCCUGCGAUCGAAUCGAAUCCCAGCUCUGCACAGUGAACACGGGCCUGUUUCCUCACCUGUGAAGGGGUGGCCAUAGGUGCUUUGGGGCGUCGCUGUAGAAAGCCCCUGGCACUGUGCCCAGCACAGCAUAAACCCUCUUUCACUUGGCCGUGGUGAUGCACUUUCACGAAGGAUCUGGGGCCUGGUGGCUGCGGAAUGCACUUGCCUGGGUAUCCAUUUCUGUCUCUCAGUGUGGUCCCAGCCCCACUGCGCAGAGGGCGGGAGGUGUGUAAAGGGACAAGAAUCAUGAUAAUUCAAGUGGCGACAUUUGGGGAUUCUCUCCCACUCCUGGGGUCCAUCCCAUUCGGUGCAGGCGGAGGUGUUAGUCAGCUGUAGCGAAGGACCACAGGUGGGGCCGCUUAAACGACAGAAAUUUAUUUUCUCACGGUUCUGGAGACUGGAAAUCCAAGAUCAAGGUGUCAUCGGGGUGGGUUUCUUGUGAGGCCUCCCUCCUUGGCUCGUAGACGGCCGUCUUGCCCUGUAUCUUCACAUGGUCAUCCCUCUGUGCAUCUGUGUCCUAAUCUCCUCUUCUUAUGAGGACACCAGUCAUAUGGGAUAUGGGAUUAGGGCCUACCCCAGUGACCUCUUUUCACCUUAUUACCUCUUUAAAGACCUCAUCUCCGGGGACUUCCCUGGUGGCGCAGUGGUUAAGAAUCCGCCUGCCAAUGCAGGGGUCACAGGUUCGAGCCCUGGUCUGGGGAGAUCCCACAUGCCGUGGAGAAACUAAGCCCACGCGCCACAACUACUGAGCCUGCGCUCUAGAGCCCAUGUGCCACAACUACUGAGACUGUGUGCCGCAACUGCUGAAGCCCACGCGCCUAGAGCCCAUGCUCCGCAACAAGAGAAGCCACCGCAAUGAGAAGCCCAUGCACCGCAAUGAAGAGUAGCUCCCGCUUGCCGCAACUAGAGAAAGCCCGCACACAGCAACGAAGACCCAAUGCAGCCAAAAAUAAAUAAAUAAAUUUAUCUAAAAAAAAAAGAAAAAGGUCCUAUCUCCGGGACUUCCCUGGUGGCACAGUAGUUAAGACUCUGUGCUCCCAAUGCAGGGGGCCCAGGUUCGAUCCCUAGUCAGGGAACUAGAUCCCACAUGCCACAACUAAGGAGCCCACCUCCCGCAACUGAGACCCGGCACAACGAAAUAAAUAAAUAAUAAAUAAAUAAAGACCCUAUCUCCAAAUAUAGUCACAUUCUGAAAAACUGGGAGUUAGGACUUCAACACAUGAGCUGGGGGUGAGGGGGACACAACUCAGCCCUAACAAGGGCCCACCUUCCCCAGCCGUGGAACUGCCACUCAGGAGACGGUCAGCUUUUCCAUUUGGCCUGCAGCAGCCAAUUUAAGCUGCAACGGAACUAAAGGGCUGUAAUUCACCCUGAAAAUUAGCAGAAAACAGCAUUGUAGCAAGGUGAUUGCUAUAGAAAUAUCACAAGAUCAAAUAAAAAACCUGCUUUAAGAUGCAUUACACAUUCUUUCUGGGAGGGAGCAAGGCUGCAGGGGCAGGGGAAGAUCUCGGUGGUGAUUCCUAAGAGGUUCCCAGAGACGGUGCAUUCGAGGGCAUUGGCAGUCUGGCAACAUAGACUUUUCAUCUUGUCUCAUUUUUUGAAAAAUGGACAGUUCUCCUCUUGCCUGGUGCCGGUGUUUCUGCACAAUAAUUUUUCUUCCUUUUCUUUUUUGGGCCCAGAAAUGGAACAAAGAAAUGAAGGGCUAAGGAGAGAGGAAGAAAAAGUACAGAUGUUUUUCUUGAGUUAACCAGGUCAACCAUCAGGAGAGCAGGGAAAAGAGGAAGACUGUUAGAGAAUGUUAAAGAGACGCCUGCAGAAUCAGCCUGCUGUGAGCUGUGGGGAAGGAGGGCGGGUGAGGGCAGCCUGGGCCUGCUUCCCGAGGGUGAGGGUGAGAGAUGCCAGCCAGCCACCUACAGCAGGCCAGGCCGGGGAGAAGCACAGCGGUGAAUGAAGGAUGCUCUCGACUUAUCUCUGCUCUCCUAGCCUCCAUCAGACUGGGAAGUUAGGCCCAUUUUGCAGAUAAGGAGACUGAGGCACAGAAAGGUGACAACACAUGCCCAGCUAUCCCUGACCGUGGGUGCUGGAGCCAAGAUUUGAAGCCGGAGCCCUCUGGCCCCCAGACCCCCGGUUCUCUCACCUGUGCCACCUCCCUUGGUUCAGGAGAGUGGAGAACAGUCAGGAACUGAGGGUUCCAAGAGGGCGACAGGGAGAGGUGGGUCACAACUGGGUGUUUGCAACUCCAGGUGGCACGAGUACAAGUGGGCCCCCCUCUGCAGGACUCGUGCCCCUUCCUCCCCAAGCCCUCCUGGCCCUCCUCUGUCCCCACACAGCAGCCUCACGACUGAUCCUUCGGGAAACCGUAGGACGGAGACCCACUUGGGGAGGCCCCAUCCAUCCGCUGCAGCCCCACGAGGUGCUCUGGCUCUCCGCGGGCCCACCAGGUUGGAGGAAGCCUCCGCGUCUUGCCUGGGGGAAGAAACUGGGAGGCCUCUUGGUCCUUCCACCGCACCUCUCCCCAGAGCUUAUGGAAAGGAGAGUGGUGUUAAUAAGUCUUCCUGCCUCUCAGCCUCCUGUGCCCCGAGGAAGGAUGACAGCUUGACCCCCAACCAGAACAAGCUGUGCUUAAACUUUGGGGACAUAAGGUGGCGUGUCUGAGGGAGGAAUGUUUGUGUAGCCCAGGAGUAGGGCUCAGUCCCCUGUCCCAGGAGGAAGGGGCCAAGCAGGGCGCCACAGACACGCCCCCCCGGGCCUCCCGCUGCCUUGUUCAGCCUGCACCUCCUAAUAGGCCCCAGCCCCCAGCCCAAACCCAAGGUUGCCGACGGGAACAUUCAUUUCCAUCACCGUUCUUUCUUCUCAAUCCCCAAUUUUCAAUUAAAAAAAUUUUUUUUCCAAAACUGGUACCAAUAUAACAGUGAUUUUCUGUUGAUGGGUUUGGAUGAGGGACUUUCUUAGUUCAUAGUUUCCUUCCUUGUGAUUUUAAAAAGAUAACUGCUUUCUAGCUUUCAA